GUCCUUUUGAUUUUAAUUUAAGGUCUGACCUGCCCAAUGAUAAUUUAAAUGGCCGCAGUAUUUUGACUGUGCAAAGGUAGCAUAAUCAUUAGUUUUUUAAUUAAAAGCUUGUAUGAAGGGUUGGACGAGAUAAAAUCUGUCUUAAUUUAAUUUAUUUUAGAAUUUAAUUUUUAAGUUAAAAAGCUUAAAUUUUUUUAAAAGACGAGAAGACCCUAUAGAUCUUUAUAUUUUUUUUUAUAUUAUUAUUAAGGAAUUUUUUAUUUAUUAUAAAAAUAAUUAUUUUAUUGGGGUAAUAUAAAGAUUUGAAAAAUUCUUUAUUUAUAAAAACAUUAAUUUAUGAUUAUUUGAUCCAAUAUUUUUGAUUGUAAGAUUAAGUUACCUUAGGGAUAACAGCGUAAUUUUUUUAAAGAGUUCAUAUCGAUAAAAAAGUUUGCGACCUCGAUGUUGGAUUAAAAAUUAUCCUAGGUGCAGUAGUUUAGGAAUUUGGUCUGUUCGACCAUUAAAUUUUU
rnacentral:rRNA from 1 species